rnacentral:misc_RNA from 1 species
UCCGGCUUAACGCCGGCAGUCCCCCUAGAGUGCCCAACUGAAUGGUGGCAACUAAGGGCAAGGGUUGCGCUCGUUGCGGGACUUAACCCAACACCUCACGGCACGAGCUGACGACAGCCAUGCAGCACCUGAACCGGCAGUCCCCGAAGGGAAGGCCCUAUUUCUAGGGCGGUCCGCCACAGUUCAAGCCCAGGUAAGGUUCUUCGCGUUGCGUCGAAUUAAACCACAUGCUCCACCGCUUGUGCGGGCCCCCGUCAAUUCCUUUGAGUUUCAGCCUUGCGGCCGUACUCCCCGGCGGGGCACUUCAUGCGUUUGCGUCGGCCCCCCGGGGGUCGCUCCCCCAGAGACCUAGUGCCCAUCGUUUACGGCGUGGACUAC